UCCACUUCCUAUCUUUCUAUCGGCGAUAUUACGUGAGAUCAACGACGUGUCCCGCCUUUUCUCACGCCGGGACGACGAUUUUCGCGAUAAAAAUGCAAUACUUCGUUGGAUGAAGAAAAA
rnacentral:lncRNA from 1 species